AGUCUGAUGGCCUCCUGUGUUCACGACGUGGGAGGAGGAGGACGGCACGGCGGGGUGAACCACUGGCCGCUCCUCACAUUUCCAUUUUUUUUUGUUUUUUUGGAUCUUUAUAUCCGGACGGCCGGCUCAUCCCGGUCUCCGCUGGACCAACAGGAUCGCCGCCGGCUUAUGCUUGACGACCACCUACGAUCACCGCAAGGGUGGUGGAGGUGGGCUUGGCAAGGGAAUCGCCGCCUUCCCUUUUAUUUGGCCUCUCUCUUUUUUUGUCUUUUGUUUUUGUUUGAAACUCGAUGGAAGCAGAGAGAAGAGCACGCGACCAGCACCUCCGCUCAUUGGGAUCACCGUCGACCUCUUCCAGAUAGCCGCAAGUGACCAAUCCGGCCACCGCAUGAGAGGAGGGAAGAGGCACGGUGGCGGGACCCACCAUCCCUCAAUUUUUUUUUUUCUUUUGUGUUUUUGUUUGAUGUGGAUCCGAAUGGGAACUCGGGUGGGAUUCACCGCCAGCUCUUCCCGGAGGCCGCCGGAGCUCGAUCCCCAAACGCCGG
rnacentral:lncRNA from 1 species